UACGGAGGAUCCAAGCGUUAUCCGGAAUCAUUGGGUUUAAAGGGUCCGUAGGCGGUCUGAUAAGUCAGUGGUGAAAGCCCUACGCUUAACGUAGGAACGGCCAUUGAUACUGUCGGACUUGAAUUAUUAGGAAGUAACUAGAAUAUGUAGUGUAGCGGUGAAAUGCUUAGAGAUUACAUGGAAUACCAAUUGCGAAGGCAGGUUACUACUAAUGGAUUGACGCUGAUGGACGAAAGCGUGGGUAGCGAACAGG
rnacentral:rRNA from 1 species